rnacentral:rRNA from 1 species
CUUAAGCAAUUAAGAUAGUGGCAAACGGGUGAGUAAUACAUGAGUUACCUGCCCUCAAGUAAGGAAUAAUUCGCCGAAAGGUGAACUAAUGCUGUAUGUGGUGGUGGGGGUAAUGCCCCAUCACUAAAGCCGUAAGGUGCUUGGUGA